AGGAUGAUUUUUUUUUUCUGGGUUAAAAAUCAAAAGCAUUUAUCUUCAUUAAUGAAUGUAUAUAAUAUAAUCUGGUGGGUGUUGAUGAUCUGAGCUGGUAUAAACACAAUUCUUCUACAUAAAUCCGAGUCUAUGCAUUGGCUGAACCCCACAAGACAGCUGCAAUUUUAAAUUGAUCAUUCAAGAAAUCAUCAGGGUUGCAAGCUGAAGGCAAUCGAUUCACAAGUACUUCGGUGAACAUGGCAGGAUAAAAUUACAAAAAAGCAUCAGAAACUAAGCCCAAUGUUGCUUGUUUUCAAGUUUAUAUUCAUCUAAUAAUCUUCAGCAUUAUAACCAAGUACCUACAAACAGAAAAUCCGAACAAAACUCAAUUCACAACUCCUUUCCAUCUGUCUCUUCAACAAGCGACAAACGAAAAGAUGAAAAUACAUCUCAUCAUUUAUAAGAAAAGAAUGAAAGAACUGGAAUUCUGAACAACAAUCUCGAACAAGCUUGGAAACACAGAAAAAUAAAUGUCUACUGCUGAACACACCAUGGAAAAAACGUAGUUUCUCUCAAAAUUACACAAUUAAGGACAAAACUUAAGUAACAUCAUAUCGUUAAUGGUAUGUAGUCACUGACAUUAAAGUGAAACCACAAAUCCAGUUCACUAUCAAAUGCCACCAACAGAGCUACUUUCGGUGAGCUUACUGACCAUUCACAUAAAAAACAGCCACAGGGCUAAUAUGUGAUUGGCUAAUUGGCCACCGUCAUGACACACACCAGCACCGCCUAAGUUGGAGCUAAAAGACAUUGAAGAUCACUAUGACACCACAUUCAAAAGCUACGAUCACACUAAACGCACCAUUAAACUUUUUAUAGCUUGUUAUAUAAAUAAGGAACAAUCCUGAACUCAAAAGGAAUUUCCAAGCUAAAUAAGCUGACUUCUAAAACCAGAACUGCAUUGCCACUAAAUAGGAAAACGCAUUGACUACCAAAUGGGAAAACCAAUCUACCAGCACCGGCUGAUAUCAAUAGGGACUGUUCUACGACAAUUAUAACAGAAGUAAAUUUAACACAACUCGAAUAGCAAUGCGAAACUACUGAUUUACCACCUAAACUUCAAUAAACUUUGGAAAUCCUAGGAUUAUACUACAAAUAAGCAGUAAGAA